rnacentral:lncRNA from 1 species
CCGGCGUCCGGCCUUCCCAGCACCCGGCCCAGGGCUGGAGCUGGCUGCAGGGCUGGCCCGCGGCGACCUGGGCAGGGUGGCGGCUGCUCCCUCUCCUCCCACCCCGCCCCGAGGCGCAGCGCGCGGCAGAGCGGCUCGGUGCCCGGCGGGCGGGCGGCCCGGGCGGGCCUGCGGUCGGGAUGAGGACGGCGCCUCCGCUGCAGAGCGCUGGGGCGGCGCGGGCCGGGAGCUCGUUGGCGGCGGCCGGCGUGGCGGGCGGAGCGGGCCUCGGAGCGGAGGGAGGGGGGUUUGACACGUCUACACCUGUGCUAUCCGAGAGGAGCGGGGUUUGACACGUCUACACCUGUGCUGUCCAAGAGGAGCAGGGUUUGACACGUCUACACCUGCGCUGCCUGAGAGGAGCAGGGUUUGACACGACUACACCUGCGCUGUCUGAGAGGAGCGGGGUUUGACACGCCUACACCUGCGCUGUCCGAGAGGGAUGGGGUUUGACAGGUCUACACCUGCGCUGCCUGGGAGGAGCGGAGUUUGACACAUGUACACCUGUGCUGUCCAAGAGGAGCAGGGUUUGACACGUCUACACCUGCGCUGCCUGAGAGGAGCAGGGUUUGACACGUCUACACCUGUGCUGUCCGAGAGGGGUGGAGUUUGAGCCACACUCAAGUUUCAGGUGCUCAGUGGCUUCAGAUGAGAAAAGAGGUGAAAUGAACUUUAAUGAUACAUUUCAUUUAGCCCGGCAUAACCGCAAUAGUUUCACGUUAACAUGUGGUCUGGAUUUUAAAAAAUUAUCCGUGAAGCAUUUCACGUUCUGUUGGACUCAGUCUUUGAAGGUGCUUCCCGGUCGUAUCAUGAGCACAAGAGGUGCCCGUGGCCAGGCACCUUGAAGGACAGGCCUGUGGGGUGUGAGGUGGGGCUGACACUCCCGGCCCCUCCCCAGGCCAGGCCUGGCAUCUCCUCUGCCGCCUGGUGAGCUUGUCGAAUGCUGGAGGUACCUUGUCAUUUUUUUGGCCCUGAAGGCCAGGAGACAUCCAGGUGUUCAGAGAGUGAAAGGUGCAGUGCCUGAGGGAACAGGGGGCUCAGGGCCUCUCAGAGCGUGACAACAGCAUGUGGAGACCCCUGGACACGUCGGAGCCCUGUCACCAUGGCUUUCAUGUGGUCCUUCUCUCAUGGUCCCCGAGAUACCUGGGCCCACCACUGGGCAGGCACCCAAUCCUCUUUACCAACCUGUACUCACCCCGAUCCCUCCCUGCUGUCCAGGACAACUUUACUGUGCCUUGGCCCCAACAACAGCGUUGCCCCCAUCAGCCUCUCCACUCUGGGAUCUGGGCUUUGCUGCCAUGUCUUGGCCAGUACAGCCUCAGGUUGGCUCACGUGCCCCCCGCCGCAAGGAGUGAAUCAGCCCCAGGGACCCUUCUACUUUGAGGUGAACUCUGUAGGCAGAACUUCAGAAAGUUGAAGCCAGGAGGAACUUUCUCUUAUGGCCAUGGACAGCCAGCCAGGGAGCUCUGUAGGUAGGUGGGUAUGUGGAUGGAUGGGUGGAUGGAUGGGUGGAUGGGUAGAUGGAUGGAUGGAUGGAUGGAUGGAUGGAUGGAUGGAUGGAUGGAUGGGUGGAUGGAUUGAUGGGUUGGGUGGG